AGUGAACGCUGGCGGUAGGCCUAACACAUGCAAGUCGAACGGCAGCACAGUAAGAGCUUGCUCUUACGGGUGGCGAGUGGCGGACGGGUGAGGAAUACAUCGGAAUCUACUUUUUCGUGGGGGAUAACGUAGGGAAACUUACGCUAAUACCGCAUACGACCUACGGGUGAAAGCAGGGGAUCUUCGGACCUUGCGCGAUUGAAUGAGCCGAUGUCGGAUUAGCUAGUUGGCGGGGUAAAGGCCCACCAAGGCGACGAUCCGUAGCUGGUCUGAGAGGAUGAACAGCCACACUGGAACUGGGGAACGGUCCCGACUCCUAAGGGAGGGAGCAGUGGGGGAUAUUGGACAAUGGGCGCAAGCCUGAUCCAGCCAUACCGCGUGGGUGAAGAAGGCCUUCGGGUUGUAAAGCCCUUUUGUUGGGAAAGAAAAGCAGCAGGUUAAUACCCCGCUGUUCUGACGGUACCCAAAGAAUAAGCACCGGCUAACUUCGUG
rnacentral:rRNA from 1 species